AACUUUUAACGGUGGAUCUCUUGGCUCGUGCAUCCGACAAAGAACGCAGCCAGCUGCGAUACGUAGGCCUAGUGUGAAUUGCAGAAUUCAGUGAAUCAUCGAAUCUUUGAACGCAAAUGGCGCUCUUGGUUAUACCGGGAGCAUGUCUGUCUGAGUGUUG
rnacentral:rRNA from 1 species